UACGUAGGGUGCAAGCGUUGUCCGGAAUUAUUGGGCGUAAAGCGCUUGUAGGCGGUUUGUCGCGUCUGCUGUGAAAUUUCGGGGCUCAACCCCGAACUUGCAGUGGGUACGGGCAGGCUAGAGUGUGGUAGGGGAGACUGGAAUUCCUGGUGUAGCGGUGAAAUGCGCAGAUAUCAGGAGGAACACCGAUGGCGAAGGCAGGUCUCUGGGCCACUACUGACGCUGAGAAGCGAAAGCAUGGGGAGCGAACAGG
rnacentral:rRNA from 1 species